rnacentral:lncRNA from 1 species
ACUAUCGUGCCAGCAUCCAGUUUACGCACUUUCUCCUCUCGUGUGGUCAGCUGGUGCUUGAAGUUCUCAGCUGCGUUUCAUCGGAUGGUCCUUCGACAGGCCAGAAUCCACGGCCUCCCUGUUCGCUGCAGCCGCCGUUAUCAACGAUAUUGCGUGAUGCACCAACAUUUGUUUUUUUUUGUUUCUGAUUUUGGAGCCCGGCGGUUCAGCCAUGCAAGAGCAAUAUAACGAAUUGCUUAAGCCUUUAGGGAAACAUCGCGGUUGAUUUGCACCCGUCAUUUCGGAAGCACUCCGAAGGUCGCUGCUAAAUCCCUCCCUUCCGCCGCUCGAGAGGUUGCUCCUGCUUUCACGCACACCAACGAACGUGAUGGCCUCAUUUCGUCUCACGCUGUUUACAGGUAUAUUAUAGCUGAAAAGUUGACAGGUGGAGAAGCUGGACUCCUCUAGGACUCGCGUGAUCUUCGCCGGUGCGGAAACAGGCGAGGGAGCGCUCCGUUACGGCUCAUCCGCCUUACACAAUACGUUACGUCACGAGUGCACCGCGGCGCCAGGGGUUACGUAAACGCGCCCUUCCGACGCGGCUCCUGCAUUCGUGUCCGUGAGUAUCUGGGUUAUGCGGAGUUUUUUUUUUUUGGCUGGAUUCACAGCGAUUCCACAGAGGCCUGCGAUUUCGCCGCGCUCCGCCUUUCAGAUCGGCGCCCAUCUGCGACCGCGGUUUGUGGUGGUCUGCAGGAGAUACCAGGGGACUGAUUUCCUCCCAUAGUCUGGAUGCCUUUCAGGUACGUUGAUGAGUAAGUCAUCCUCAGAAAGCACACACGUGAGCAAAUGAGUGUGUGCAUGUGUUUAGCCUGUGAUGGCCUGGGGAGUCACUUAGGAUAGACCCUACCUUGUGCCCUGUGCAUCUGGGAGAGGCUCUGGAGCACGAUGACCCGGUAUUGAAUGGAUUAACCGUAACCUAACAAAUUCUCAGCACCGAUAAAUGAAGUUCCCACUGUGUUGCUAUACCUCGUUGGCUCCAGAUGCCCCAAACACAUGCAAGACGACACCGGCUGCUCGUCUCAGUAGAGCUUUACACCAUCUAUGUCUCAGAGGAGAUGAAGAGUAACGGUUCAUCGCUGAUCCAUUAAGCAUUCGAAUAUUCGGACAAACUUCGACCUUUCUAAUUCAAAGGCUGCCCGUGGUUUCUGUCGCACAUGCAAGAACGCAAAGCUUUUUAAAACCAUUACCUCGUGUUGCGGUCAAUGAUCCUUUCCACACCUGCACUUUUUCAUACACUGAACGUGGGAAAAUAAAAAUAAAUGGUGCCAAAUGGCA